rnacentral:rRNA from 1 species
AACGAACGCUGGCGGCAGGCUUAACACAUGCAAGUCGAGCGCCCCGCCAGUGGGGCGGCGGCCGGGUGAGUAACGCGUGGGGACGUACCUUUUGGUUCAGAACAACUCCGUGAAACUGGAGCGAAUACCGGAGAAGCCCUAACGUGGUAAGAUUUAUCGCCGAAGGAUCGGCCCGGGUCUUCUUAGAUCGUUGGUGGGGUAACUGCGCCUCAAGGGGACGAGCGGUAGCUGGUAUGAGAGGAUGAUCAGCCACACUGGGACUGAGAAACGGCCCAGACUACUACAGGAGGCGGCCGAGGCGAAUACAGGAAAAUGGGCGCAAGCAAGAAGGAGCCAUGCCGCGUGAGUGAUGAAGGCGUUAGAGUAAUAAAGCUCUUUUGUACGGGAAGAUAAUGACUGUACCGGAAGAAUAAGCCCCGGCUAACUUCGUG